ACGACCCGCAAGGCCGACGCAUAACGCGCCGCCGGUGCAAGACCGGCCACCCUGCAAGGGGCGGGCGCUCAUGGGUACACA
ncrna:unclassified sequences Twister-sister ribozyme sequence